rnacentral:tRNA from 1 species
GCCGAAGUGCUGUAACUGGUAGCCAGGCACGCCUCAGAAGCGUGUGCUCAUUGAGCGUGGAGGUUCGAAUCCUCUCUUCGGCA